UCCAUGGUGGACGCGUAUUAUUGGGCUGUACAUUCCUGGGUUGAGCAUUCUCGGGCCGCGCAAUAUUGGUCCGGGGCGAUAAUACGAAGCCACUCUUUUCACAGGGCAAUAAUGUACGACCCCAUAAUUCGCGUCCAAUAAUUUGAGUCCCUUGGCUUUCAAUUAUUGGGCUGCGCAUUAUUGGUACAGGUCGAGAAAGCCCGACCCAAUAAUGUACGACCCAAUAAUAGGAAGCCAAAAACCAGAGAGAUUCUUUUUUUUAAGGGAGCUGUCAAAAUUAGUAGGGACGUUCUGACAUUAGCUCUUGACAAUUUAAAAAUAAUCGGUUUUUUCUAGUGCCAUCUUUCAGUGACAUUGACAGUAUUGUAUUGACACUUGUUGGUUUACAAAUACAAUAAAAUGAAUUCUAAUAAAAGAAACAGUAGACUCAGUAGAGGUACGAGGUACUGAAAAAAUAUUAAUUAAUGGAGAAGCCGAAGUUGGAGGAAAACAAGAAGAUUCGAGGAGAAUGGUGUGGCACUUAAUGCCGCCGGGACAGUAACCUAGCUGCAGCUCCAACUCUAGGGAAUUGGGCUGAAUGAACGCAACACGUGAUCGACAGCCCACCUGCUUCCUGCCGAGCGUCCCUACACUACAUCUACAUGGAUUCGCUUAUUCUGCUCUACAAAACUUCUAAAACAAUACAAAUAAUACAGGAAGAAGAGAUUAAACAACAGGCGGUCUUAUCGCUAAAAAGCGAUCUCUUCCAGACAACCUUACUACUUUUGAGGAGCUGAUACAAGCAGCCAGAAUGAGUCUCUGCUGAGUCGCCGGCGCCGGACGUGCGUCGCGCGCCUCGGGCGACUGACGUCUUCGUGUGAGUCGCCAAUUGCAGGGGAAGAUACGAAUAGUUAGGUAUAAAAGCUACUUUAGUCAACCUCGCCUCAGUACUGUUUGUAUUGACUGAAAUACAAGUAGCAUAUAUGAGACGUUCGGACGUAUCCGUGAAAAUACGAAGGUAAAGGAAAUUGCACUACAUUUUUAGAACCUAUUCACCUGUCAGUAAAAUAUUGAAAAGGAAAGUUCAUGAGUUUUAUUAUUUUCUUUCCUCCAACAGCUUCACAUGGAGCAAAUGUAAACCUUUUAUGUUAAUAAUAUCAGUAAUGUCAAGGUACAACGCUCUUUAGAGCAUAUUGCCAUUCCUUUUACUCGAGUGGCCUGUGGGUUAACUAUACGAAGCGAGCCUACGAUGCAUUAAAAGUGCAGUAUAACAAUGCAUUCAGA